GCUGCAGGUUAGCGUUAUCGGGGCCCAUGAAAGGCUCCACGGAAUCCGGCCGCGGGAGUUGGAACCAGAACCCUCAGUUCUAGAGCAGCCAGGGAGCGGCAGCUGGAAGACCGAAUUCUUCAGAAUUCACUGAGCGUCCAUUGGACUAGAUUCCGCCCUUAAGGGCUGGCUCGGAGGAGGCGCCCACACAAGAGUAUUACGGGAAUGAAUGGGGCCGUGGAGGAGCCCACAUUAAAAUCUUAAAAAUUUAGGAGCUCUUUGGAGAGCUCACACUCUUCCUCCAGGUAGGAUGGGGGGUCUGGCACGCAAGUAUGCUUUCGAGCUAGGUGGGGGCCUUCCAGAUCAGAGGUGGGGCUCCUGCCCAGACACAUUCAUGCCUGCAGUCACACAGUACCGGAAAUGCUGAAGGGCAAGACCUACACAGGCUGCUGGAGUUAUAGUGAGGGAAAUUUCCCCUUGGUGUCGUUCAGCUAGGCAACAGAUAAUUGUCAAACAUCUACUAAGAGCCAGGCACUAUUCUUGCUUUGGGGAUUACGCCCCCUCUGGAUUGGGACCUGCAGCCCAGUGGAAGGGAACGCUAGAGACCCAGGGUCCCAAAAGCACUGUGACACCUUCGAAGGUGGCUGAGUGCUAAGAAGAGUGAGCAGAGGAAGCUGUGGAUAGAAAUGGGGUGAAGGGGCCUCGUCUUCUAGAGUGUGAUGGUUCAGCUUGCAGGGUGCGGUGGUAGCCCUGGACUGGAUCCCCAGUAACUUCUCCCAAAAGAAUGAGUGUACAGUGUGACCAGGAUGCUUGGUUCCAUAUGAUAAGGUCCAUAGGGAGACAGGGCUUAGAAGAGAUCCUACAGAGGGAAAGAUGCUGAUGUAGGGAAGACAUCAACCAAACCAGGGGGAGUGAGGAUGGGGGAAAAGUUCAUGGUAGGUCAAAUGAUGCCUUCCCAAAGUUGUCCAUGCUGUAAUCUCCAGACCUGUGAAUGUUUUGUUACAUGGAAAGAGGGAUUUAGGAUUGAUUGCUUUUGAAAUUACAGCCUAGUCAGUUGACUUUAAAAUAUACCUUACCCAGAAGCAUCCAGGUGGGUCCUAUGUGAUAUUGAGGGCCAUAAAAGUAGAAGAGCCAAGCACAGUGGCGCAUGUCUAUACUCCCAGCUACCUAGGAGGCUGAAUCAGCAGGUUUACAAACUGGAGUCCAGCAAUUUAGUGAUUUAGCUAGACCCUGUCUCAAAGUAAAAAAUAAAUAGAGGACUGAGGAUGUACUUCAGUGCAGAGGCCCUGGGUUUAAUUCUCAGUACAGAAAAGAGUGUGAGAGAGAUCAAAGGGAAGUGAGAGAAAGAGAUAGUUUUGAAAGAACUCUAGAGAUGCUGUGCUCUUGCCUUCAGAGACAAAGGAAAGGAUCACAGAUCAAAGAAUCUGUGUACCCUCUUGAAGUUGGAUCAAACCAGGAAGCAGAUUCUCCCCUAAGCUUCCAGAAGGAACAGAGCCCUGCUGACACCUUGAUUUUUACCUUGUGACCUCCCUUGGCCUCCUGCUAACGAAUUUGUGUUGUUUUAAACCACUGAGUUCAUGUUAAUUUGUUCCAGCAGCAAUGGAAAAUGAAUUCAAGGAAGUCAUUUUAGAUUUUGAUCUUGAGCCUACCCCAUUACUCCCCACAGCUCCCUAGGGAGGACAGGUCAGGUGGAUUCUGCCUUCCCUUGUUUGGUGGCUUCUGGGGAAACUGAGGCCUGGACAGUCCAGAAAGAGGGGAUUUGGGAGUGAGGGAGGUGCUCUGUUUUUUUUGUUUUUGUUGUCUUUUUCCUUUUUAUCGGUACCGGGGAUCGAACUCAUGACUGCCUGCUUACAAGGCAGGUGCUUAUGCCACUGAGCUAAAUCCCCAGCUCCGAGGGAGGUGCUCUGAUUUGACUGUUUCUCCCCCACAGCCCGAUGGAAAUCACCUGCAGUGCAGUAGGGCUGGGGUUGGGGCUCAGUGGAUACAUUUGGAUGAUGAGGGCUCCUCCUCUUCAACUCAUUAAUGUGGAUCAUGAAAGGCCCUUGAGGCCACCAUUUGUCUCUCUGUCCCUCUCCCUGUCUAUCUUGCUGGUGCUAUGCCCUCAGACAUCCCAGACUCCAAAACCAUGACCUAAAUAAGUUUCUGUGCAUCUCCAAGUACCUGGUCUAUGGUGCUGUGUCAUAGAAGCAGAAGACAACAAAGCCCAUGGUAAUGGGUGUACCUCCUCCUGUCCCUGAACCUCAUAGGCCCUCCUGAGGAUUGGGUCAGGUGGCCAGAGCCUAAAUCAUUAUCUUCAUUUUACAGAGAUGGAAACUGAGGCUCUGGGCACUGACAGGGAUGUGCACACCUCCUAGGUCCUCCUCACUUAGUGAUGGCUGCCAUCUCUGCCGCCCUCCCCAGUCACAGGCCCUGGGAAAGGAGGGACCCCACAGUGUCCUGGGCCGUGCACAUGUAUGUCCUGAGCUGGUUCUCCUGAUGGCCCGCUGUGUGGUCACAGGCAAAGGCCUUUUCUUUUCAGAGCCACUUUGUGUGCCAAAGCAGGAACAGCACCCGGUCACCUGAGUCCUGACCAAGACAAGGAUCUUCCAGGCACGUCCUUAAUGGGAACACAAGGUCUCGCGGGCAGCAUGGUUCAUGAAACAUUGCAACAGGAGCCCAGGGGACAGAGGCCUGGCCUUGCUACCUGACCUGGAAUGACUCUGAUGGAGUCACCUGAGCCUGCAGAAGUGAGGUUGAUGAAGCCCCACCCCAUCCUUAGGCACCACAGAGAUACUGGGGGGGGGGCGGUGUCAGGAACUCCAUUCAGAGCCAGUGACAACACAGAACUCACAGGGAUAGAAGACCGGAGAGGCACAGGCUCCUGGCCAAGGCCACACAGCUGGGAACCACCCAGAGCUCUUUGCAGAUGUUCUGGGUGGGUGAGUAACAGGGGCCCCUGUUGGGUAGCAUAGAGCUCCUGAACCUGGCAAAGCUCCUGCCCUCUCCCAUGGCCUGACUGUGUGGCCAGGGCUGCACACGAGGACUGGAACUGCCAUCUGUGCUCUGGACACUGCUUUCAGAGUCCCUGGCUGUGAUAAGGUUCUGCCCAGUGCCAGCUCUGCCUGCUGCAGGGACUGCGCCUGGCAUCACACAUCGUCGCCUGCCACUGGCACUGAUAGAGCCCAUACGUGGAGUGGUGUGGGCCUGGCCCCAGCUCUGCCCUUAGCAAAUGCUCACUUCCUUCUCGCCAUUCCCACACAACUUGUCAAGCUGUCACUUGGCAGGGCCACCAGGUCCCUGGGGAGGCUCUGCUGAAUGUCCGGGAGCUUAGUACACACAACCAGCAUGGAGCCCUGCAGAGAAGCAUUUAUAAAAUGGGGUUCGGUUACUACAACUGGCUUUUUUUUCUUUAAACUGAAUUGAACCCAAGGUCUUCAUUCUGAGCUAUACACCAGCCCUUUUUCAUUUCCUCUGUCCUGAGACAGGGUCUUCCUGAGUCGCUAAACUGCCAGGCUGGGGCAGCUUGUGAUCUUACUGCCUCCACUGCCAAGAGCACAGAUAUCGAAGGAAUGUGUCACCACGCCUGGCUUACACCUGGAGUGAGGCUGAGUGGCCUGCAUUUCUGAACCAAGAGAUGCCCAGGUCAGCUCUGUGAAUGACCUCGCACACUGAAUGUGUCCAGGGUGCAGACACACCAACGCUGGCGCCUGGAGCUAAUCUUCAGCAUUAGGUAUUCCACUGUGCUCACAAGGACCUGAAGGUAUCUGGAAGCAAGCUUUGUCAAGAUUUCCUUUGCCUAUCUACAUUAACUCCAAGUAGCACCAGGCUUUCCUGCUUUGAUGUUCUUUUUAGACGAGCUUUUUUUUUAAAAAGUUUGGAAUAACUUUAGAAUUUAAAAAGUUGCAAAGAUAGCACAGAAUUCCUAUAUAUCUUUCACCCAGUACCCCUAACGUUAACAUCAUUAUGUAACUACGGUAGUUUGUUGAAAUUAACACUGGUAUGUAACUGUUAAUAAACUCCUGGUUUAUUCAGA